AACGCACCUUGCGCUCCUUGGUAUUCCGAGGAGCAUGCCUGUUUGAGUGUCAUGAAAUCAUCAACUUACAAGCCCUUGCGGGUGAGUAAGCUUGGACUUGGAGGUGCUUGUCGGCCCUAGUGGUCGACUCCUCUUAAAUGCAUUAGCUUGAUUCCUUGUGGAUCGGCUCUCGGUGUGAUAAUUGUCUACGCCGCGACCGUGAAGCGUUUAUGGCGGGCUUCUAACCGUCUCUUCGGAGACAGCGCUUUGACCUCUGACCUCAAAUCAGGUAGGACUACCCGCUGAACUUAA
rnacentral:misc_RNA from 1 species